GUGGGGAAUUUUGGACAAUGGGCGAAAGCCUGAUCCAGCCAUGCCGCGUGCAGGAUGAAGGCCUUCGGGUUGUAAACUGCUUUUGUACGGAACGAAAAGACUCCUUCUAAUAAAGGGGGUCCAUGACGGUACCGUAAGAAUAAGCACCGGCUAACUACGUGCCAGCAGCCACGGUAAUACGUAGGGUGCAAGCGUUAAUUGGAAUUACUGGGCGUAAAGCGUGCGCAGGCGGUUAUAUAAGACAGAUGUGAAAUCCCCGGGCUCAACCUGGGAACUGCAUUUGUGACUGUAUAGCUAGAGUACGGUAGAGGGGGAUGGAAUUCCGCGUGUAGCAGUGAAAUGCGUAGAUAUGCGGAGGAACACCGAUGGCGAAGGCAAUCCCCUGGACCUGUACUGACGCUCAUGCACGAAAGCGUGGGGAGCAAACAGGAUUAGAAACCCUGGUAGUCC
rnacentral:rRNA from 1 species